UUUAAAAUUCUUGUUUGCCUUUUGCCAGCAUUUGUAUGAGUGUGUGAUGUUGCUACCUGACAUAAACAUACAAUCACACACACAUACACAGACGCACCGCAAAAACCACAUGCCUUCCCAAUCAGAAACAGAGAGGUGCACAAGUAGAAAAUGCCGGCAAAUCCAAUAUGUUUGCGGCGGCGGCGGUGGCGGCGCUGCCACCAUCUGCGCGCAAAAUGUAACACGGUGGCAACGCCAGCAGCGACGUUGACGCCAGCAGCAGCGGGUAACGCGUUCAACAUAACCAAACAAAUUUGAUGCUGUUGACUGCCUGCGACUCACGCUCAGACACACACAUACUCAUGCAUAUGUGCAUAUCAAUAAAUACAUGCAUAAAUAAAAGGCAACACUUACAUGUUGACUGUUACUGCUUGCUGCUGCUGUUAUUGUUGCUGUCGUUGUAGUAGUUGACGUUGUUGUUGUUACAAAUUGUUGUCAAUUUUGUUUGAGUUGUUGCUGCUGUCUCUGUCGGCAGCGCCACAGAAAAAAACAUGUUUCACUUGAAGCUGAAGACAACGGCGAUGCUGCUUCUGCCUCUGCUGCUUACAAACAGAGAGAUACACGCACACACACAAUAUAUAUGUACAUACUCAUCUGAAAACGUUUAAUGAAGAACAAAAAGGAACAUGUACACACAAACACAUGGGGGAGAGAAAGAGAAGGAGAUAUUAAAACAUAUAUUCAACAAUAACUUUAGCACACUGUAAAAAAAAAUAGUUGGAAAAAGCACUGUCGCACGCAUACAGAGGUAGCGAAAUGCGACGCUGCGGCUAACAAAAGAGCGCGUCGCAACAGCAGAGAUGGACUAAAAAAAAAAAAAAAAAAGUCCGUAUAAAAAUGAGCAUAAAAAACAGACAAACAACGCAAUGUGAGACAGCGACUAUUUUCCGAUAACUUUUGCUUCGUCAAUAAUACUGCACUUUAUAACUUCAGUUGGCUUAACAAAAAAUUAUAUUAAAAACAAAAAAUUAACGCAGCACAAUAACAAAAAAUAAAUGCACACACAUACACCAAUGCACGCACGCACAGUUCGUAUAACGGUGGAACGGCGCAACGACAGCCGAUAACGAGUACGAGCCGACGACGACGGUUUUUUCACCAACCUUUCUUACUGCUGCUGCUGCCACUGCUGCAGCGCUUAAAACAUGCGCAAGCGACAAAAAAAAUUUAUAAAAAAAAAAAAUAAAGAAAUAUAGCUGAAGCUAAUGUAAAGCUAGAAGCUUAUUAGUAAUGUAAUUUGCUUGAUUUGAUUUAUAAAUGUAACUGAAUAUUUUGUUUGUUGCCACACGCGAAAAGACGAAAUCACGACAACAGCGACGACGACGGAAAAACGCGCGCUUACACGUCUGUACGUACCAAAGAGCAAAACGAAAA